ensembl:lncRNA
GGCGUGAGAAUCUGUGAAUAAAAAGUCACAAUGUUCCGUCUGAUUUGGUGUGUGCGUGCGCUUGUAUCAGUGUGGGUGUGUAUCUGGACAUUGCUCGGGUGGUGGAUAGUGCUGUUGUGACAGUGGGCUGCCCUCAGAGGUCUGUGGAUAUCCAGUGUAAAUCCAGCCCAGGGGAGCUGUGAAAAAGCUAAUAAUACGUUAUUGCAGUAGAGAUCCUUCCUGUCGCCUCUCCAUCACCACACCAGUGCCACCCUACACAUGGACCACAGCGGGAUAAUGGCCAAUAAUGUGGAGCAGCAGAGAGUGGGGAAGUCCAAACACACUGGCCGCUGAGUGGUGUGAGAGGGCCGGGGUCGAGAGAGAGGGCUGAGGUAGAGAGAGGACCGGGGUAGAGAGAGGACCGGGGUAGAGAGAGGACUGGGGUAGAGAGAGGACCGGGGUAGAGAGAGGACUGGGGUAGAGAGAAUACUGGGAGAGAGAGAGAGAGAGAGAGAGUGCUGGGGUAGAGAGAGGACUGGGGUAGAGAGAAUACUGGGGUAGAGAGAGAGAGAGAGAGUGCUGGGGUAGAGAGAGGACUGGGGUAGAGAGAAUCCUGGGGUAGAGAGAAUACUGGGUGUAGAGAGAAUACUGGGGUAGAGAGAUAUAGAGAGAGGACUGGGGUAGAGAGAGGACUGGGGUAGAGAGAAUCCUGGGGUAGAGAGAAUACUGGGGUAGAGAGAGAUAGAGAGAAUACUGGGGUAGAGUUAAUACUGGGGUAGAGAGAGGACUGGGGUAGAGAGAGGACUGGGGUAGAGAGAAUCCUGGGGUAGAGAGAAUACUGGGGUAGAGAGAGGACUGGGGUAGAGAGAGGACUGGGGUAGAGAGAAUCCUGGGGUAGAGAGAAUACUGGGGUAGAGAGAGAUAGAGAGAAUACUGGGGUAGAGUUAAUACUGGGAGAGUUUGGGGUAGAGAGAGGACUGGGGUAGAGAGAGGACUGGGGUAGAGAGAAGGCUGGGGUAGAGGGAGGACAGGGAUAGAGAGAAUACUGGGGUAGAGAGAGAGAGAGUUUGGGGUAGAGAGAGGACUGGGGUAGAGUGAAUACUGGGGUAGAGAUAAUACUGGGGUAGAGAUAAUACUGGGGUAGAGAUAAUACUGGGGUA